ensembl:lncRNA
GAUGAUAUUGAGGAUGUGAGCAGUCCUUUCACCUUUAAGAGUUGUCUUCAAAAUGGAGCUUGUUCUUUUUCCUAAGUUUCAGUCUGAGAAUCCAGCUGGAGUAUCAGCCACUCACCCUGCUGCUGAAGAAUAUGGUGAAGAGGAUGUCCUUUGCGAUAAAGGCACUACGCCGGAAAGCAUGACCUUCAGAGGACUGGACUGAACUUGAACUGUGUUUAGGCAGCAUGAAGUAGAGAACACGAGGCACUUACCCGAGAACAACAUCCCGCUGAAGCCAUUAGUGAAGAGGUUGUGUAUCAGUUAUCCAGACCCUCUGCUGGAGGAUUCAAAUUGGACCAGAUUCCUUUGUAAAGUGGUCUCUCACCUCUAUUAUGGGACAUGUUGUACUUCAUUGCUUCUGGGUGGUCCUGUACACCUAGAAUGGCUUAUAGUUGCGAGAGGUCCCACCACACUCAACUGCCGGCAUUCACACUCCGUCCUCUCUCACUGCACACCUUCCUGUUGAGAUUGGCUCACUUCGAUUCCUCUAAGAUGAAUGUCUCUCUGAACCUCUUGUGGCAUUUGAGUGAACUGCAGUUCCAGGUUCCAGCUCUGGGAACUACAGAGGAAUUUGCUGCAUCACAGACCAAAUCUGUGUACACAACAUUCCUUUGA